AACAUAGUCCAAGAGAGAAAGAAGGAAUGUUAAGGAGUGAGUGCAGUUUCUGAAAACAAACUCCACGCUUCCUGUCUCCCUUCCUUUUGCUCUCAGAACCAGUCUUAAAGGUGCAAAACUUCUUUCUGGACUAAACAGACAAACAGGGAUACAAGCAUCAUAAAGUCACCCCAGGACAAUGACUCAACCACUUUUCUGGGCAGCCUGUUCCAAUGCUUGACAACCACUUCAGUGGAGAAAUUUUUUUUAAAUUUUUCUAAACCUCCACUGGCAACACUUGAGCCCAUUUCCUCUUGUCCUAUCACUUGUUACUUGGGAGAAGAGACCAACACUCUCAGGUAGUUAUAGAGAGCAAUAACGUCUUCCUUCAGCCUCCUUUUCUCCAGACUAAACAACUCCAGUUCAUAGAAUCAGAGAAUCAGAGACUGGCUUGGGUUAGAAAGGACCUUAAAGAUCAUCUUGUUCCAAACCCCUCACCAUAGGCAGGGACACCUUUCACUGGACCAGGUAGCUCAGAGCCCCGUCCAACCUGGCCUUUAACACUUCCGGGGAUGGAGAAUUCACAACAUUCUCUGGGCAACCUGUGCCAGUGCCUCAUCACCCUCACAGUAAGGAAUGUUUUCCUAAUAUCUAAUCUAAACCUACUCUCAGUUUGAAGCCAUUCCCCUUGUCCUAUCACUGCAUGCUCUUGUAAAACGUCCCUCUCCAGCUUUCUUGUAGGCCCUCUUUAGUUACUGGAAGGCUACUAUAAGGUCACCCCAGACCCUUCUCUUCUCCAGGCUGAACAGCACCAGCUGUCUCAGCCUUUCCUCAUAGGAGAGGUGCUCCAGCCCUCUAAUCAUCUUGGUGACCCUCGUCUGGACUCGCUUCAACAGGUCUAUCUCCUUGUAAUGAGAACCCCAGAGCUGGAUGCAGCACUUUAAGCGGGGUCUCAUUAGAGUGGAGUAGAGGGGUAGAAUUACUUCCCUUGACCUUCUGGCUACAGUAGUUUCCUCAGUUGCUCCUCUUAAGAUGUGCUCUAGACCUUUCAUGAGUUUUGUUGCCCUUCUUUGAACAUGCUCCAGCACCUCAUUGCCCUCCAGUGAGGGAGACUCCUCAACCUGGACAACCUGUUCCAGUGCUCAGUCAGCCUCACAGUGAAAAAGUGUUUCCUGAUGUUUACCUGAAACCUCCUGUGUUUCAUUUUGUGUCCAUUACAUCUUGUCCUGUCACUGGGCACCAUCUUCAUAAAUGACUUGGACAGAGGACUGGAAGGAAGAUGAAGUUUGCUAUGAUAUAAAUUGGGAGGAGUUGUUGACUGCCUUGAAGGCAGUGAAGUACUGCAGAGAGACUUUGACUAAUGAAAGGACUAGGCAAUAACCAACCAUAUGAAGUUCAACAAGGGAAAAUGCCAGAUUCUGUACCUGACACAGGGCAACCCUGGAUGUAGGGACAGACUGGGGAAUGAGAGGCUGGAAAGCAGUGCUGUGGAAAGGGACCUGGGGGUCCUGGUUGAUGGCAAGCUGAAUAUGAUCCAGCAGUGUGCCCUGGCAGCCAGGAGGGACAACUGUGUCCUGGUGAGAAGGACCAAUCUGAUUUUUAUUUAUGCCUCAACAUAUAUUCCUGGAGGGGCUGUAGAUUUGCUGUCAGCCCUGUCCCUGGGAAGGUCUCACCUGGCAGCCAAUCAGGGCAGAGAAAGCUUCCACAAUCAAGCUGCAAGUGACUUGCAAGUGGGGCAGAUGCCUCAGAUGCGUGGGGGAAAAUGCCCGUGCGAGAAACUAGGCUGUCUCCCUGUUCUUCUAAGUUCUUCUAAGCCUUCUGAUGUUUACAUUCUUGUAAUGAACUUUCUCACGCACUUUUAUGUAAAUAAUUGUUUUACAUUCUUCUCUGGAGGAGGAGAAAUUUGAUGGACUGUUGUCUUGUCCAGUGUCAUUGGAGAGGUGGCACUUUCAACCUCCAAUCCACUGUCACUUUUGUAAGUCUAUAAAUAUUGGAGUCAGGAAAUAAACUUCCCUUCUUUUUCUUCUUCUCACCUUGGAGUCCAGUGUCCAUGUCAUGUUAUUUCGUGUCCUAUUGCGACAUCUGGUGGCCGCCAUGUGUGGGACAGCCGUGGGUGAGGUCGUAUAGUUCCCCCCCUCCCUGCUUUGGCGUGGUGACUGUGAGCCGUUUGUCACUUUGCCUUCAGCUCUUGUGAUAAUGGCAACCCCUGUGGUUUCCAUGGAGGACUCCCUGGUUUUGGAUCUCUGGAAGGGUCUCAUAGAGUGAAAACGGGCUUCCGUUUCCUGGAGCAAUUUUGAAAGAUUAUUUCUGUGGGCCAGAGAGCAAGGGUUUUUUCCAGACCCUGCCGAAGCGUUCUCCAGGGAGGCGUGGUCUCUCGUGGGAGAAAGCCUCAUGGAAGCUCUCCUUGCUGAUUGUAGUACAGAGGUGGGAUCAUUGCUGGUGCAAUGGAAAAAGUUUGACGCGGUUUGGAUUUUGUAGCUCUCGGAGUUCCCAGGGGGACCCUUCCAUCUUGGACACGGACGAGGGGGAAUUUGAAUUUCUGCGCGAAGCAGAACCCUCCCCUCCCCCCCAGGACGAUGAGCUGGGUGACGGUUCCGUCUCAGACGGUGACGUUUGUUCCCCUGGGGUGGAUUGGGCUCCCGGCCAGCUGGUUCUGAGCGGCUGGCAAGUGGGCGGAGCCCCGCAGUCUUCUGGGGGCCCUGUGGAGUCAGCUAAAUAGACCCCGCCCCUCCCCGCACUGCAGAGGCGGCGGGGUGGGGAGAAAUCACUCCCUUUUUGUGCCUUCCCGGCACUCGGGGGCUGCGGGGAGCCCCUGGCUUAGCCUCCGCCUCUGCUUCAGUCUGAUUCGGUGACAACACUCUGUCCGAAUUGCGGCGUUUCCAUGAAAUAGCUCCUGGGUGCGGUGGGAGCGGGUUCGUCGGCUUCGGCGCUGGCCCCGUCCUCGGAGGGAGGGGCGGGGGGAGGUGGUAUCGACCGCCUCUGAGACUGCGCAGCCUGCCGGGCAUGCGCAGGCCGUGGAAACCGCCGGAGCCGGGGCGUUGGUCGGUGUUAUGUCGGGCCCCACCACGAAUUCGACAUUUUUGAGUCUAAAUGGACACAGUUGGCAGCCAGCGCAGUGGAUGGAGCGGAAUGCUAUGCUGGGUCUGCAGGAUCCCAGAGAGGCUGACUGCCUCGGUGGAGAAGCAAGUGGCAGACCCUGAGGCAAGGAGGCUUGUGCUUACACACCUUGCAAGAUGUAACUGCAAUGACGAUUGUAGGAGAAUCACAGACACUCUUCCUGGUGAUCCUUCCAUCUCCCAGAUGGUGGAGGCCUGUGCAAAGGGCAGUUGACUGGUCGCAUCGAGACGGCGGCUUUGGAUCCACUGGGCCGCCUCAAGUUCACUGGACUGCUGUCCUGACCAAGGAACGUCCCAAGAUGAUGUGUACCCUGUCCAUUUCUGGUGCAAUGCUGCCAGAGAUCCGCCUCUGCGGGCUUCUCGACAGUGGCGCGUAUGUCACGGUUCUCUCCCUUGCUGCCUGGCCCCUGGAGUGGCUCCUGAAUCCGGUGGAGACGCCUGUCAUGGGACUGGGAAGAAUGGCGCAAUGCUACGUGAGCCAGCGGCCCAUGCUGGUCGCGAAUCUAGAGUGACAGAUGACCUUGGUUUGGCCUCAUGUUACUUCAGCUCCUGCUAACCUCUGGGGAAGGGAUGUGCUGUCCACGUGGGGGGUGCGCAUCUGGACGGAUUUUUGAUGGGGGCCACUGUGAUGAAGACGCAGGGUGCCCUACGCCUCCUAUACAGUGGCUGGUGGACAAACCCAUCUGGGAGAACCAGUGACUCCCCCCUCAAGACAAAUUAGUCACCCUUCGAAACCUGGUGCAGGAGCAGUUGGACCAGGGUCAUUCGGAGCAUUCUACCAGUCCCUGGAACACUCCUGUCUUCUGCAUCAAGAAAAAAAUCUGGGAAAUAGAGGUUGUUACAAGACCUCAGAAAGGUCAAUGCCGUGAUGGAAAGCAUGAGAACAUUGCAGGUGGGCAUGCCGUCACCUACCGUGCUUCCCACAGACUGGACAGUCCUUAUUGUGGAUUUCAAGGAUUGUUUUUUUACUAUUCCUUUGUAUCCCGAUGACAGACCAAAAUUUGCCUUCUCGGUGCCAGCAAUUAACAACGCUGAGCCCGCACAGCGAUAUCAAUGGAGAACUUUGCCCCAAGGCAUGCGCAAUUCUCCGGCCAUAUGCCAAUGGUAUGUGGCCCAUUCCUUGUCUGGAGUUCACAAGCAGUUUCCUGAUGCCCGUCUUUACCAUUAUAUGGAUGACAUUUUGGUGGCUGCGUCCACCCAGGAUGAGCUGCUGAGGAUACAGCCUCAGUUGCUCGAUGCUCUGCAUUAUCAUGGGCUGCAGGUGGCUCUAGAAAAGGUUCAACAACAACCUCCUUGGAAGUAUUUGGGGGUCAAAAUUCUGGAACGGACAAUCUGUCACCAGGAGGUGCAAUUUGUGCAUUCUGUGAAGACACUGAAUGAUGCCCAAAAAUUGGUAGGUGUCAUCACUUGGUUACAUCUGUACUUGGGACUGACCGAUGCACAACUGUCCCCUCUAUAUGAUUUGGUAAAGGGAGACUUGUAGCAGGCACAAGGCCUGCACGGCCUCCUUGGCGAUCAGAAGCCUGAGCUAGGAAAUGCCAAAGUCAGCAUGACUAAGGCUUUAGAAGCCCCUCUCUUCCGUCUCUCGGACCCUGCCAUAACCCGAUCUGGAUCGAGCAGUGGCCCCUCUCUAAAGUCAAACUGCGCUCACUACAUGCCCUUGUGGAUGAACAGCUCGCCAAAGGCCACAUCGUAGAGACCACCAGCCCUUGGAAUUCUCCAGUCUUCAUGCUACAAAAGCCUGGAACACACAGGUGGAGGCUCCUCCACGAUCUUCGCAAAAUCAAUGAGGUCAUCGAGGACAUGGGUCCCCUCCAGCCUGGCCUGCCCUCACCAUCGAUGCUGCCUAGAGACUGGACACUUGCUAUCAUUGAUAUUAAAGACUGUUUCUUCAGCAUCCCGCUGCAUCCCCAGGACACUCCACGGUUUGCCUUCUCCGUCCCCUCUCUUAACAGAGAGGUUCCACUCAAAGGAUAUCACUGGCGUUUUCUUCCUCAGGGACUUAAAUGCAGCCCCACUCUAUGCCAGUGGUAUGUUGCCCACAUUCUGUCUACCGUUCGGAACCUAUUCCCAGAUGCGAUCAUCCAUCACUAUAUGGACGAUAUCCUGGUCUGCGCACCAGAAAAAACGUACUUGGACAAAGCGGUUAAAAGGACUAUUGAAACCAUAGAAAAGGCAGGAUUCGAGAUCCAUGAGGACAAAAUACAGUACACCAAUCCAUGGACUUACCUUGGACUCCAGAUCUGGGAAAGGACCAUCGUACCCCAGCAGCUCGCCAUCCGAGAUGACCCAAAAACCCUGAGAGACUUACACAGUCUGUGCGGAUCCAUCAACUGGGUACGUCCACUGCUAGGAAUUACAACAGAGGACCUCGCUCCACUGUUCAACCUUCUUCGGGGCAAGGAGAAUCUGGGCUCUCCAUGCACUCUAAAACCAGAGGCCCAAGAUGCCAUCACCAAGGUCCAAGAAGCGCUGUCUUCACGCAAAGCCCAUCGCUUCGAGCCCAGCCUGCCUUUCCAGUUCGUCAUUCUGGGAAAAGUACCUCAGUUCUAUGGACUGAUUUUCCAAUGGGACACUCAACUUCGAGACCCUUUACUAAUCCUGGAGUGGAUCUUUACAAAUAACCAACCCACAAAGAAAAUUACCACCUUCCAAGAAAUAAUGGCACAUUUAAUAAAAAAGGCUAGAACUCGCCUCCGUUCCCUUGCAGGGUGUGAGUUCACAUGCAUAUAUUUGCCAAUGACCACUGGGGACCUGGAACAUUUGCUCCACACCAAUGAGAGUCUCCAGUACUCCUGAGAUAGUUAUACAGGCCAAAUUUCAGUACAUAUCCCAAAACAUAAGCUUUUUAAUCGUGAUGUAACAUUUCAUCUGACCCCAAAAUUAGUCCAAAGUAGGACACCUCUCAAAGCUCUAACCAUCUUUACAGAUGUCUCAGGGUCAUCCCACAAGUCGGUAAUGACAUGGAGGGACCCUAAGACCCAAAAUUGGGAAUCUGACAUAAAAAUAGUGGAGGGAUCUCCACAGAUUGCGGAGUUAGCAGCUGUUGUCAGAGCCUUUGAGAAAUUCAAAGACUAACCUUUUAAUCUGGUCACAGAUUCAGCUUAUGUUGCUGGCAUAGCUAUGAGAGCAGAACAUGCUCUUCUCAAAGAAGUUUCCAACCCAAAGUUAUAACAAUUGAUUUCCACAUUAACACGCUUAAUUUCCCACAGAAAACAACCUCACUAUAUAAUGCAUGUGAGGUCACACACUGACCUCCCAGGUUUAAUUACAGAAGGGAACCGGAAAGCAGACACAUUAGCCAUGGCAAUAGAGACUGCUAAUGUCCCUAACAUCUUUUCCUAGGCAAAGCUGUCACACUCAUUUUUUCAUCAAAAUGUGCCUGCCCUUAUCAGAAUGUUCAAGCUUUCAAAAGAUCAAGCAAAAGCUAUUGUUGCCACAUGCCCAAACUGUCAAAACUACCAGAUACCAUCUAUGGGGACGGGAGUCAAUCCCCGAGGUUUAAACAGCUGCCAGCUGUGGCAGACAGAUGUAACCCCCUUUGCACCUUUUGGAAGGUCAAAGUACGUGCACGUAUCGGUUGAUACGUUCUCAGGAGCAGUAUUUGCAUCAACACAUACAGGAGAAACUGCGCAGCACGCCAUAAAACAUUUUCUCCUCACAUUUGCAACCCUGGGAGUACCAAAGGAGAUCAAAACAGACAAUGGACCUGCCUAUACCUCUCGUAAGUUAAAAGAGUUCUUCAGUGAGUGGGGAAUACAACACAAGACAGGUAUACCUGCAAACCCCACAGGACAAUCCAUCAUGGAAAGGACACAUCAAACUCUCAAAAGAGUCCUCAAUCAGCAACAGAGAGGAACAAAAAUCAUUUCUCCAGUUGAAAGACUUUGCAAGGCUCUCUAUGUCAUCAACUUCCUGAACUGUACAACCUCAGAGCCUGAUCCACCAAUACUUCGCCACUUUGCAAAUACCACCCAAGCAAAGCUCACAGAGAAACCACCUGUGCUGGUGAAGGACCCAGAAACACAUAAAGUCUCUGGACCUUUCAAACUCAUUACCUGGGGAAGAGGAUAUGCGUGUGUUCUACUACCAUCUGGUCCAAGAUGGUACCCAGGGAAAAACAUAAAACCAUACCUAGGCACUGCAAAUACUACUUCCACAAGCAGUGACAAGAAUCCUCCUGAGUCAAACACAAGACCUCCUCAAAACCAGACCAGCUCGGCCUGGAGACGAAGACGUCGCCAAACAUCCACAGGGGGAGGAGACGACUGUCCCAUCACACAACAGCAGACAAACCAGGAAGCUGAACAACAUUCUGCGGCAUCAAGCCCUAGGCCAGACACAGCCUGAAAACAAAACUGUUCUCUGAAUUAGAUGUUAUUACCCUUUUUACCCUAAAAACCCUAUUAUCCCCUUUAUCAACCCUUGCCAAAAGCCUCUAACCUUUUACCCACUCCCCCACCCUUAGCACCACAGAAAAAACAAAAAAACAGUCAAAAACUAAAAAUAAAUAGGGGGACUGGAAGAAACAGGGGAAAGGAACAAGAAAGGAACCCUAACCCUCCCCUCCUACCAUAAAAAUAACAAGUUUUGCUUAUAUUCCCUAUCAGAAGCCACAUUCCUGUCCAAAGAUGAAAAAUAUAUCCAUUGGUGCUGUCCUCACUGCUGCCUGGAUGUUCCUCACCGUGCCGUGUGCCAUCGGUUGGAUCGGCCCACAGCCGAGCCAUAAUGUCUGGGUAACCUUAGCAAGGACAUUAAAACAGGAUAACAUGUGCUUAUCCAUGGGGAGCGUUGAUAACCCACUUUCCACAUGUCUAGUAGGAAUUCCAUUCAUCGCCGAUGACUGGCCCGCCUAUAAUUCAGAGCUUCUCCGCACCACAGGUAAGCGACCCCACCAGGUAGAAACUUGGGACGAGUGGACAAAAAUACUGCCCAAUGCUCUUGAGGAACCUCAAGAAUUGGAUCUGUUGGGGUCCUCCAAAGCCACAUUCUGCGUCAAAUUUUACUUUAGACGUCCAAAGAAUAAUUGGCCUGAAAUUGACCUGAACAAAAACACAUACCGAAAAGACAUAUCGCCAAUUAACAAAUCCUACAACCCUCACGAUUGGUGUAAUUACACUGCUUGUGUGAUCUCUGUGUCCUCUCUCCAUCCCAAAGUUCUACCCAAGGGAACGCUUCUCAUCUGUGGUGACAGAGUAUGGGCUGGGAUCCCCUCACGACUCCAGGGAGGUCCUUGUACCCUAGGAAAACUUUCUACCGUUACUCCAAAUAUCACCUUGUUACACAAUUGGAAAAAAGCGAAUUAAAACGCCACAAAAGGUCCUACACAGCAUUUGAUGAAAAUUGCGAUCCCAAAUUAUACGAUUGGAACAAACCUAAAAAGAUAGCGGUCUCUAUAUUCCUACCAUGGGUGAAAUAAAUCACCUUGGGUGCUGGCUCAGUAAGCAAGCUAAACGCUACUUCUGCUGCCCUGAGCGAUCUCUUAAAGGAAGAAGAAACCACAAGACAUGCCUCACUCCAAAAUCGAGCAGCGAUUGACUUCCUGCUGCUUGCCCACGGACAUGGCUGCAAGGACUUUGAAGGGAUGUGCUGCUUCAAUCUCUCUUCACGCUCAGAAUCCAUCCACACCAACAUCCAAAAACUGAAGGGACUUGUGAAGGACUUAAAAGUUGAAAAGACCCCAGACUGAGUCAAUGACCUCUUCGGUCAAUGGGGAUUAACGGGAUUGGUUGCAUCUUUGGUUAAGGGAAUCUUGUGGAUUUUUCUUGUAAUUGUCAUGGUGCUAGUCAUGUUCUCAUGCCUUGUUCAUUGUUUUAAAAGAACCAUAGGGAAUGCCUUUUUUCUAAAUACAGAAAGUGGAGUUGUAGCAGGCACAGGGCCUGCACGGCCUCCUUGGCGAUCAGAAGCCUGAGCUAGGAAAUGCCAAAGUCAGCAUGACUAAGGCUUUAGAAGCCCCUCUCUUCCGCCUUUCGGACUCUGCUUAUGUCUCUGUAAGCCUAUAGGUCACUUUCCCCUGACCCUUACUAUUGGACAGUUUUCAAAACCCCUGUAGGGUAUAAAAACCCCUAAUUCUGCCUGGUUCGGCAGAAGAGCUGUCACUGGACCCUUCGCGGAGACCCGAAUAAAAGAACCCUGCGGAACCCAUGCAGCGCUUCUCUCUCUCCCUCUGCGUCUGCUGCGGCGGCACCUAGGAGGGCACGGGCAAGCUGAAAGAGCUGAAAUCACAAAAGCGCUGGCUGCAAAUCACUAUAGCUUGCCCAGGUUGCCUGAGCCCCCCCCCGCUGAGCUAUCCUGGCCGGCCGGCAUUCCCUGCUGGGCUUCUGCCCUGAGGGUAAUAGCCAGGCCAUAGAGAUUGAUUUAAAGUCGCCUUGCGCAUUGACCCUUGAGGCACGUCAGGUGCUGGAGGUGGUUCAGUGAGCUGUUUCUGCUUGCCAGGUUUAUCGCAUUGAUCCCUCCAUUGAUGUCACUGUGUCUCAGGUUCCCUAUGGUCGGCAUGACCCAGAGCCAGCCUGAUGGUCGCAGAAAGAGUUGGAGUUCUUCAUUUGUGGUUCUCAAGGUCGUUUAUUGUUGCUUAUCUAAGAUGUUUUUUCUCCGGCCCGCCACAGGCUUGUCUGGCACACUACACGCCUCUCGGGCUGGUGCUAUCUUUUAUACUAAAAACUACCUAUACUAUGUUUACAAUAAUGUUCCAAUACCUAUCACCUAUGUUAGACAGUGACUUUCUACUCUAAACCAAUCUGUGAGUGCCAACAUCAUCCUGAACAUGGAUGCCAGGGACAAGAAAAAAGAAGGACAGGGCACGCCCAAAUCCCUCCAUCUUGGACCCCCUGACCCCCAUGUACAGAAUCCCAAACCCCCCUGUACAAGGUUCUAAAUCCCCCUGUACAUGGUUCGAAAAUUUUCCCUUCACCCCGUGCUUACUACUACUGUGCUACUUAGACUUUUGUGACCUGUGACUCUUCAUACAAGGUUGGUAAUUUCUCCCAGGGGCUAAGAUCGAAUCCCUAAGUGGUUUUGGCCUUCUGCCAGGGCUCGUCAGCCCCCUGCCAGGGGCUCAAGCCAUCCAGGUCACCCAGAGGGGUGUCCUGGUGUAGGAGUGUAGGAGAGUGCCCCCUAAUGACAGAGUGGCAAAGCUAGCCUUUGUCCUCCAAAAAAGGAAAGAAGCCCAGAAGUUUCUCUCAACGAUUAGGUGAAAAGCCACCUCAUAGGACCUCAGAGACUUCACCAAAAACUUGGGGUCAUCUAAUUGGAUAGAAGCCAAAAAGUCCCGCCUGGCCCAUCGGGUAGAAAAGAGGAGAACAAAAGAACUAAGAGGCUUUUGUGAAGGUGUUUCUACCAGGGGCAGACCGCUAUACCUGGCUUGAAUUUUUCUCUUUGUUAUUUUGCCUUUUAUUAAACCUUUUUGUUUCUAACACUGCAGCAGAAGCCAUCCUGCUCAUUAUUUUGCCUCCAAAGGUAAUAGCUAAGCUCUCCUUGGGUGUGUUAGGUUCCCUUUUGAGGGUUCAUAAGACCUGGCCCGAGAAAAAGAACCUAGCAUCCUGGGUUUCGACAACUGUGUUCAUUACCACUCCAGAUUCGCAUCCCACAGGCAUCAUUGGCCAAUGGAGUGCCAAAUGGUCCAAUUUCUUGUACAUAUUGAAAUCGGUUUUCCUGCCCCAUCAGCCACAGAAGACGGUAAGCCCAAUGAUGAGCUAAUUGCUCACUUGAUAAUCAAAUGCCGGCAACGGCAUUUGCAAUUGAUGGGUGUGGAUCCCACAAAGAUCAUACUCCUGGUACGGUGGGAGGAUUUUGACAAAAACAGUGUGUCCCUGGAGUGCUCUGGAAAAAUUUUCAGGGCAGAUCACUAAUCAUCUGCCCAGCCACAAGCUAUUGCAGGUAGCGAAACUCACACAAAUCUCUUUGCAGCCCAAAAAUAGUCAGGAACCCAUGCAAGGACCCACUGUCUUCACUGACAUUUCGGGGAAAACGGAAGGCCAUUUUUACUUGGAGGAAUGGAUCUGAGUGGCAGGUCCUGAAAGGUCAUGAGGAUGGGUCAGCCUCAGUUGGUUGAAUUGAGGGCUGCUCUCAUGGCAUUUGAGAAAUUUUCCCAGGAACCUUUCAAUUUGGUGACGGAUUCUGCCUAUGUGGCCGACAUCGCACAGCAGUUGGGUCACUCGGUCUUGAAGGAGGUCAGUAACCCUGCCUUGUUUCAUUUACUGAAGACCUUGUGGUGUGCCAUUCAGGCUCGGGUUCAUCCUAUGUUCUGCAUGUGAGGAGUCACACCAAUUUGCCAGGGUUUGUAGUGGAAGGUAAUGCGAGGGCUGACAAGUUGGCUAACCCAGCGAGGGUAGCACUUCAGCCUGAUACACUCGUGCAGGCCGAGGCAUCGCAUGGGUUUUUCCAUCAGAAUGCACUUACCCCGCAGAAGCAGUUUCAGCUGACGCCAACUGAGGCUCGUGACAUUGUCGAGUCAUGUGACGACUGCCACGUAGUUGCUCCACCUUUGCCUGCAGGGGUAAACUUCAGAAGUCUUAGGGCCUUGGAGCUUUGGCAGACCGAUGUCACCCAGAUUGCUGAGUUUGGCCAGCUCAAGUAUAUGCAUUUCACGGUGGACAUGUUCUCCUCUGCAAUGUGGGCUUCUGCUCACACUGGAGAAGAGGCCCACACUGUCCUUGCCCACUGGAGGCAGGCCUUUGCUGUUCUGGGCAUACCUUCUGCUGUGAAAACCGACAAUGGUCCUGCUUAUGCAUCGCAGAAGGUGCGGCAGUUCCUGCAGUUGUGGGGUGUGUCACACAAGUUUGGUAUCCCUCAUUCUCCAACUGGUCAAGCUAUUGGUACUCUGAAGCGGGUUCUUCAAAAACAAAGCCAGUGAAUGCCGGGUGAAACCCCGCACAGUCAGUUGGCAAAAGCUUUGUACACCAUCAAUCAUCUUACGGUGCUGCAGAACUCAAAUAAUCCUGUCAUUUUGAGUCAUCAUCUCUUGUUGCAGGCUGCGGACACGGCAUAUCAGCAUCAUGCGAAGGUUCGGGCAUCUAAUUUAAUCACCAAACAGUGGGAAGGUCCCUAUGACCUUAUCACUUUGGGCCGUGGGUAUGCUUGUGUAUCCACAGAUACUGUGGUACGCUGAGUACCUUCGAAGUGUGUUUAUCCUGACCUGCCACUGCAGAAACAGAAUCCGGUCGAUGGGCAAAAAGUAAACUGACCAAACUGAAAGCCAUCAAGUGGGUGAAUCAUUGAGUGAUGACUUGGAUGCAGAUGACGCGAGUGAUCACUCUGAUGAUUCCUCCACGAAUGGACUCUGAACCUUGUUCAUUUUUUUUUCUCAUUGUUGAUUUUUCUUUCUUUUUUUUUAACAGAAAAGGGUUAGAUGUCACCCUGAUUUUUUAAGAUUUUCUAAGCCUUCUGAUGUUUACAUUCUUGUAACUAACUUCCUCACACACUUUAUGUAAAUAACUUUUUGUUUUGCAUUCUUUUAUGGAGGAGGAGAAAUUUGAUGGACUCUUGGUUUGUCCAGUGUCAUUGGAGAGGUGGCACUUUCACCCUCCAAUCCGCUGUCACUUUUGGAAAUCUAUAAAUGUUGGAGUCAGAAAAUAAACUUCCCUUUUUUGCCUUGGAAAGACCAGCCGAGUCCGCGUCCUGUUGUUUUGUGUCCUAUAGUGACACUUCGGCAACAGCAGAGACCCGCAGCCUGCUGUUGUUUGGAAGUCACACCUAGCUGCCACGGUAGCCACGUAUACACACUGCUGUUCGCCGUACGCAGGCUCCAUCUGCUGAGCUGAUGGCGGCAGAGCACCUGGGGCUCUUGCAUUAACACUGUCCCUGUCUUCUGUUUCUCUCUCCAUCUCUAUUUUUCCCUCUCUGAUCUCUCUUCUAUCCCACUUCA